UCAGAUCCCAUUGAAGUCAAUGAGAAUAUUUCAUUUGAGCUACUGACUUCAGUGGGCUUUGGUU
rnacentral:pre_miRNA from 1 species